UUUAUAGAUCUGGUAUUUGAGAACUACAGAAGACAAAUUAAAGCAGAGUGCAAAAGGAAUUUUAAUAAUCAUUGAAAAUAUUAUGGCUUCAAAAUGCAUGGAAAUGGAGAUGGGACAAAAUGCAUUCUACCAUUUGAUAGCCCAGAAUGAAUUACUUUAAAAGGCUAACAAGAAGAGGAGGCUCGCAGUAGAAGAUGCAGACUCUGAAUAAUUAAUAAAAUGUUAAAAUGCUA